rnacentral:rRNA from 1 species
AAACAUAGCCCCCGGAAUAUAUCGGAGGUGACUCCUGCCCUAUGGUAUAUAAUUUGUUUUCUAAAGAAAACUUAAACAUAUACUAAAUGGCCGCGGUAACUCUGACCGUGAUAAUGUAGCGAAAUCAAUCGUCAUUUAAUUGAUGACCAGUAUGAAUGGAUAAACGAAUUUUCCCCUGUCUCGAUUAUAAGACUAAUAAAAUUGUAAUUAUAGUGAAGAUACUAUAAAAUAAUUGUAAGACGAAAAGACCCUAUAGAGCUUAACUAUAUUCAUAUUAAUCAUAUUCAUAAAUUAUGAUUUUAAUUAGAAUGAAAGGUAGUUUGGUUGGGGCGACCAUCUUCUAAAAAAAACGAAGAUAAGCAAUGAUUUUUUAAUCAUAUUUAAUUUAAUUGUUUAAUUAAUAAAUUUAACAAAUACUAUUGUAGGCGAUAAUGACCCGUUACUAUUAUCAAAUAAAUAUAACGAUCAAUUAAUAAAAGCUACCUUAGGGAUAACAGCGUUAUCUUGUUUAAGAGUUCUUAUCGACAACAAGGUUUGCGACCUCGAUGUUGAAUUGUGAUAUCCUGGAGGUGUAGCAGUUUCCAAAGGUUGGUCUGUUCGACCAUUAAAAUCGCACGUGAUC